rnacentral:tRNA from 1 species
GCCCCGGUGGUGUAGUCCGGCCAAUCAUUCGGGACUCUCGAUCCCGUGACCCGGGUUCAAAUCCCGGCCGGGGCACCA